GUCUUGCACAACGGUCAUGCGUAAUAGUGCAGGCAUCCUGCACUAUUGCGCAUGACGUCUUGCUCAACAUCGCCCUACACCGGUCCGCCUUGUCAACUUUUGCUUCUGGCAAAAGUUGAUUGGGCAUUCUUCCCCGGCUGGAGCAUGCAGUCUGCUGUGCGGUACCUCUCCUCUGCAAACUGUUGGUGUCGCCGAGGCCACGUGCUGCUAACGAGGGGCCAUGGACAAGGAUCGAGCUGCUUCCCUGCCAAUUAACAGAACA